rnacentral:lncRNA from 1 species
AGUCGGAGAUCAAGUAUGUCGAAGUGCAGAGCCUGCUUGUAGGUGUGGUGAUAACAUCUGUCGGUGAAGACAGGUAAAAAUUGUCUGAUUCUCCUGCAGCAGCCAAGUGUGUUCCACUUUGCUACCUGAAGAGCUACAUUUCAGCUUGCGUUUCAGAUGGAUGUUUUAAAACCACCAGCCAGAACCAGGACUGAGAGAAAGAGCAGCCCAACCCAGCCCACUCCAGCCAGGAUAGAAGACCCACAUUGCUGGCAUCCUGUGCGAUCUGAGGAACAAACAGGGAGUGGGUGCCACAACUACGCAAGCAGCAGCUUCAGUCCUGCAGUCCUGGGGUUGCUGUUCCCAAGUCUGGAGAGGUUUUUUCAGCCGCUCAACUCGAGGCUGCAGCUCAGCUAA